rnacentral:lncRNA from 1 species
CGAGGCCACCGCCGCCACGCGCGGAAUGCCUUUGAAGCACAAUUUGGAACCAUUUUGCCGCCUGAGGGGCAGGGGCAGGGACCGGGGUCGGGGGAGUACUGCAGGACGAUCGUGUGACACUCUAUUUCCAGGAAAACGGUUGCUCAGGCCUCCGAUAACGUUGCAUUGGAAUGCACAAGUUAUACUCAUCCUGUUAAUUUAUAUAGCUACUGCCUUUUUCUGCUUAUUAUAUGUAUAAUUAGCUCUUGGGUUGAUAGAAUAUAAUCUGCACUGAACCUCCUUUUUAUAGGAGAACCUAAAAAAGACCUAACAUGCAUUGGGAGUAUUUUUCAGCUUUUCACGCUACACAUACAGUGGCAAAGUCAGAAAAACAAUUGACCGAUCAAAUUACUAAAUUACAUCUACAAAAAAUCUAGACUAAAAGACAAAUUGCACCCCAAACUUUAUAUCUCUGUUGAUAUUUGCACCCCAAACUGAAAAAGGUGUCUAAGUACACCCCAAACUUCACUCAUGCUGAACAAAAGACACACUUUACUGACUUAACCGGUCAAAAGUGACCGGCUAAGGCACAAAUCCACAUUUGAAGGGGUAUUUAAGACUUUUCCUUCUUUAUCUUCUCUAACUUUAUUACAGAGUGAUUUAGUAACAUAGUAAAGCUCCUCCUCUGUCUUCCUUGACUGUGUUUUUUUGUGCGUGUCCUGAAAAUGAUCCUGCUACAAGAUCAAGAACAGGACCGCUUCCAAUGCCAGGAAAACUAUAUACAAUCCAGUGCUAAUGCAAUGUCGCAUAAGGAACAAUUCGAGCAACACUUGCUCCAUUCCCUCUGAAGAUAAUUCACGCCAUAUUCAUUAGAUUUACCGGAAUUGAAAUACAGAAACAAUCUUUAUGGAAACAUUAUCCAGGAUGCAUAGCUCACACUACCUAUGUCUAAUUGGAUGCACCACAUCCCCAAUACAGCAUAACUCCUGAAAGAAUUACCCUUGCUACUUGAACAACUAACCCAAUUACAUAAAAAAACAAAAAAAUCAGGAAAUGAAUUGCCGGAUAAAUGUUCUGAUCAUUUCACUUUCAUUUUCCCCCCAAGAUUACUGAUGAAUCUCUUGAGAAUUCGAUCACUGAUACUAAAAGAAGUUCUUUUACUAUGAUUAGUUGCAGGUCAAUCUAAUGUUAAUUUGCUCAAUCAUUAAAUAAUGUGACCGACUGCAUCUCCUAGAACCAUCUCUAUACAAUCAAUUUCAGCAACAAGUUUAACAAAAGAUAAUCAAACAUGAUUACAAAGAAAAUAAUUGAAAUAGUCACUGACCCACACCUAAUUGAGAUAUGAAAAAAAAAACCCAACAUUAUCGUAUAAUUAAUCACAAGUUCCACAAAGAUCAUAAACUACAAAUUCACUAAAAACAGCAUUAUCGUUUAACAUGUUGCUUUCUAUUUGGAAUGAAAAUUGUGAGCUGAAGAAAUGCAGGCUUCGAAGAGAGAACUGAAGAGGGAGGAAAUUGACAAAUGGGAUUUUCGUAUAGAAUUUGGACAUAUAAGUACUUUUCGUUAUAUAGCUUUACGGUUACCAAUUCAAAGUAGAAAGCAACAUGUUAAAGCUUAAUUUAUGCCAUUAAUGGCGAAAAAACAUGAAUUAUCAUGUAUAUGAAAUAGGGAGGAGGCAAUUGAUGGAAUUUAUUGAAUGAUGAUUAAUUUACCUUGUCCGCUUAAAAGUGGACAAAAUUUCAUGGAAAAAUCUUCUCUGCCGAAGAUAAUCGAUUUCAACCAGUUAUGCAGUUACUUUCUCUCUCUAGUUUGAUUUGUUUCUCUCUAUCUAAAACGGGGUUUCAGAAUCCCUAAUCUCUCACUAAGGUUUUGUUCAGAAAUCACACGCGUUGACAGAAAAGGGGCAAAUCUGAGGGCGAAACUUUUACAUAUAUUGAGCAAAAAAUGGUUUAGAGAGAGAGAGAGAGUUUUAGAGAGAGAGAAUACGGAAGAAUGGU